ensembl:misc_RNA Y_RNA Y RNA
GGCCCGAGUGCAGUGGUGAUUACAGUUAAUUGAUCACAACCAGUGGCAGAUUUUUUUGUUCCUUGUCCACUUCCACUGCUUCACUGUAAGAGCCUAAC